rnacentral:rRNA from 1 species
AGAGUUUGAUCAUGGCUCAGAGCGAACCUGGGCGGCAGGCUUAACACAUGCAAGUCGAGCGGGCGCUAAGAUACGUCAGCGGCAGACGGGUGAGUAACGCGUGGGAACGUACCUUUUGGUUCGGAACAACACAGGGAAACUUGUGCUAAUACCGGAUAAGCCCUUACGGGAAAGAUUUAUCGCCGAAAGAUCGGCCCGCGUCUGAUUAGCUAGUUGGUGAGGUAAUGGCUCACCAAGGCGACGAUCAGUAGCUGGUCUGAGAGGAUGAUCAGCCACAUUGGGACUGAGACACGGCCCAAACUCCUACGGGAGGCAGCAGUGGGGAAUAUUGGACAAUGGGGGCAACCCUGAUCCAGCCAUGCCGCGUGAGUGAUGAAGGCCCUAGGGUUGUAAAGCUCUUUUGUGCGGGAAGAUAAUGACGGUACCGCAAGAAUAAGCCCCGGCUAACUUCGUGCCAGCAGCCGCAGUAAUACGAAGGGGGCUAGCGUUGCUCGGAAUCACUGGGCGUAAAGGGUGCGUAGGCGGGUUUUUAAGUCAGGGGUGAAAUCCUGGAGCUCAACUCCAGAACUGCCUUUGAUACUGAAGAUCUUGAGUCCGGGAGAGGUGAGUGGAACUGCGAGUGUAGAGGUGAAAUUCGUAGAUAUUCGCAAGAACACCAGUGGCGAAGGCGGCUCACUGGCCCGGUACUGACGCUGAGGCACGAAAGCGUGGGGAGCAAACAGGAUUAGAUGCCCUGGUAGUCCACGCCGUAAACGAUGAAUGCCAGCCGUUAGUGGGUUUACUCACUAGUGGCGCCRKWAACGCUUUAAGCAUUCCGCCUGGGGAGUACGGUCGCAAGAUUAAAACUCAAAGGAAUUGACGGGUCCCCGCACAGGCAGUGGAGCAUGUGGUUUAAUUGGAUCGUACGCCAAAAACCUUACCAGGACUUGACAUCCCGGUGUAAGCUCCUAGAAAUAGGAGCCCCUCUUUUGAGCACCGGUGACAGGUGGUGCAUGGCUGUCGUCAGCUCGUGCCGUGAGGUGUCAGAUUAAGUUCUGUAACGAGCGCAACCCUCGUUGCUAGUUGCCAUCAUUAAGUUGGGCACUCUAGCGAGACUGCCAGCGUCAAGCUGGAGGAAGGUGGGGAUGACGUCAAGUCAUCAUGCCCCUUACGUCCUGGGCUACACACGUGCUACAAUGGCCGGUACAACGGGUUGCGACAUCGCGAGAUGAAGCGAAUCCCCUAAAGCCGGUCUCAGUCCGGAUUGGAGGCUGCAACUCGCCUCCAUGAAGCUGGAAUUGCUAGUAACCGUGGAUCAGCAUGCCGCGGUGAAUACGUACCCGGGGAUUGUACACACCGCCCGUCACACCAUGGAAGCUGGUAACACCCGAAGUCCGUGCGCUAACCGUAAGGAGGCAGCGGCCGAAGGUGGGACUAGUGACUGGGGUGAAGUCGUAACAAGGUAACCA